GAUGAAGAACGUAGCGAAAUGCGAUACGUAAUGUGAAUUGCAGAAUUCAGUGAAUCAUCGAGUCUUUGAACGCACAUUGCGCCCCCUGGUAUUCCGGGGGGCAUGCCUGUCCGAGCGUCAUUGCUGCCCUCAAGCACGGCUUGUGUGUUGGGCCUCCGUCCUCCUCCCGGGGGACGGGCCCGAAAGGCAGCGGCGUCACCGCGUCCGGUCCUCGAGCGUAUGGGGCUUCGUCACCCGCUCUUGUAGGCCCGGCCGGCGCUUGCCGACACAUCAAUCUUUUUUCCAGGUUGACCUCGGAUCAGGUAGGGAUACCCGCUGAACUUAAGCAUAUCAAUAAGCGGAGGA
rnacentral:misc_RNA from 1 species